rnacentral:lncRNA from 1 species
UUUAUAACGUCAGGUCCAUUUUGCUUUUAUCGUCCACGAAUACGUUCUAGACGUGCAGCUGCUGGCGAUUAUCACUGCACCCGUUUGAACAGGUAAGAGAAUAUGGCGACUAUAAGCCGCACAUUUGUUGGACUCGUGAUCACUGUUGUCAUCGCCCCAGUGUUAGCUGAGAAGGUGCUCAGAUCUGCUCAUAUGCCCACUACUUCGAACAAUACAAAUCCCAAGCCAUGGCCAUGCCGGAUUGCCGGACAGCCGUGCUUUGGCACAUGGCAGUGCUGUGCAGAAAGUCCUUGUACGAAUUACAGGUGUAGCUAAACCGUUGCUAGCCUGAAGGGGAAUUCAGUCUAGACGUCAUGCACUCAUUCAGCUCAAUAUAUCACAAAGACGGCAAAAUACCAAGAAGC